GCCCAGGGUAGCUUGGGGGACAUGGCAUCUGCCCGGUAAGCGGAACACUAGGUUCGAUUCCCAUCCCUGGACA
rnacentral:tRNA from 1 species